CUCUCUCUCUUCCUCAGACCUCACUUUCUCUCUCCCUCUCCUUCGAACUCACACGGACCACCACAAAACCACCCUAAAUCUAUACCAACGUCAAGUUUGAGACCACCAUUGGAAUCCUGAGGACUUCACGAUCACGUUGGUAUCCAUUUCAGGUAAGUUUUGCUUCGGAAAACCCCUAGUUUCCAAGUUCCCGUGAAGAGCAAUGUUCAUGAUCUUCGAAUUGGCUUUGUUUUAGGUGAAACAAAGCUCACAGUGAGCUUAAGGAAGUCCCAAGGAAGCUCGGA
rnacentral:lncRNA from 1 species